AGCAAUCCAUAAGUAAAGUGGCGCACGGGUGAGUAACACGUGACUAACCUACCCUGGAGUGGGGGAUAACUGAGGGAAACCUUAGCUAAUACCGCAUAACACCUACGGGUCAAAGGAGCAAUUCGCUUUGGGAGGGGGUCGCGGCCGAUUAGUUAGUUGGCGGGGUAAUGGCCCACCAAGACUGUGAUCGGUAUCCGGCCUGAGAGGGCGCACGGACACACUGGAACUGAAACACGGUCCAG
rnacentral:rRNA from 1 species